AUUUUCGGCCGGCCUCUAGAGUCCGCUUAGCUGCGGGUCCUUGCUCCUUCGGGGGUAGGGAUGUGCGUUGCGCUUGUCAAGUGCUGUGCGCUCUGGGGGUUGCCGGGCUGGCUUGCCAGUGCACUUUCUCGGAGUGGUCACCACGACCGGCGUUGUUGUCUUGCUGCUGUAGUCGAACCGGUCAGGUUUGGUCCUUGUGGCUGAGCUUGAUCGGGAUGGCAGGUAGCUCAUUGGCUGACUUGUUCAGUCUUUGGGUGUAAUCAGCCGGCUGCAGUGGUUCUGUGCAAUGCGUCGGAGACGGCGGCUUUAGGUAUGUGCUUGUGUGCCGUGGGCUGGCAGUAUCGGGUUUGACUGGCGUGUUUACCUGUUUCGGCAGGUCCGUUGGUAGCUCGGUGCUGUUCGGUCUGCGGUUGCACUUGUGAUACCGCUCAUGGGCCUAUAGUCUGUGGUGUAGCAGCAAACGAUCCACCUGACCCGUCUUGAAACACGGACC
rnacentral:rRNA from 1 species